AUCUCCGGUGAAUUCUGCAUAAAUUAAAUAUGGCACAUAGCAUGGUGAUGGAUGGUUAAAUCUGCUCGGGUAUUUGAGCUUUAACCUUUGGGGAUUAAAAAGCUCAUUUCGCAUCAACUUUUUGUUAAAGUUGUUUCAUUUGCGGUGGGGGCCUUUUCUUAGAGAAUGUCUGAGACUGAAGCUAGUGAUACUAGUUGCUGUCCUGCUCAACAGCCCCUCAAUUUGUCCGCAUUGAGCAAAGAUGAGCUGAAGGGCGAAGUCGAGAGGCUACAUGCCGAGCUUGCCGAAACGACCCAGCAGAAAUUACAAGCAGCCCAGUACGGUCUCGAUGUCUUAGAAGAAAAACAGAGUUUACAGCAUCAAUACGAAGAUUUAGAAUCUCUUUAUGAUGCCACUAAAAACGAGUUGGAGUGUGCUAAGGCAGCUUUGAGUAAACAUCAAUCCACUUACAGAAAGCAACAUGAAGUGGGUAUACGACAUGAAGAACGAUUUCUUCAGGAGACCCUUUCUUUGGAAGACCAGUACCGGGGUACCAUUGGUGAGCUUGAAACUGAGCUUAAAUCUAUCAAAGCUGCUUAUGAUCGCAUCACAUGUGAAAAUGAGCGGCUCAAUGCAUUGGUUAAUGAGAGUCAGCAACAAAUGGAAGCUUUAGAACUUCAACGUAAACAACUGAGAAAUGAAAUAAAAGAAUAUAAGGUUCGAGAAAAUCGUAACCUUGCUGAUUAUGCUGAACUGGAGGAUGAAAAUAUAAACCUUCAGAAACAGUUGUCUCAGUUGCGACAAAGUCAGGUGGACUAUGAAGCUUUAAAACAUGAAAAAAGAGCUCUUCAAGAGGAAACAGAUGAUUUAAAUACAGAGUUAGAGGAAACGAAAAAUCUUAAAAAAAUUAUAGAAAGAAAUCUUGAAGAGGCUCUGAAUUCUCUCCAGCAAGAAAGAGAGCAAAAACACAUGUUAAAGAAGGAGCUUGAUCACCAUUUAACACGUGAGUCUAUGUUCAAUUUAAGUAAUUUGGCUCACAUUGGUGGCUUGAGUGAUGGACUUAAAUUUAGCAAUAACCAUGAUCUUAAUCUUAACAGUAGUCAUCGAGAAACUAAUGAUGAUGAAAGUGAAUCUCAAGAUCACCCUGCACUUAAGCGAUUAGAAGCAGACUUUGUACAACCUCAAAAAGAAAGUAUUAUUCCUAAGCCUGCCCCAGCCAGUGUUAAUGAUUUACUUAGUGAAAUCCAUAUGACUGAAGUACAGAAAUUACAGCAGCUACUUGACCAGAGUGAGAGUGAGAAAAUGGAACUUCAGAAAGGUUUGGAUGAAGCUCAAAAGAUAAUGCAAGAUACUCAGAAAGAUCUUGUUGAACAGAAAGAACGGGCUGCUCAACUGAAGUCACACAUGAGUGCAAUAGCAAAUAUUAGUGAAGCCGAUAUUACUUUAUCUGAAGGAGAACUUACUGAAGAAGAUAUUGCUGAGAUUCAGAAUGAAACUGACCAAGAAAAGAAAGAACUUCUGCUCUUAAAGCAUAACUACAGAAUUAACGAAAAGAAUUAUACUGCAGCCUUGAAACAAAUUAGUAAUUUGCAAGCAGAAAUUUCUUGUCUUCAAGAAAGAAUACAAAUUGCUGACAGUAACAAAUCAAUUGAUCCUGAGGUGAAGGAGAAAUUAUCUAGCCUUAAUGAAACUGUCAUGGAAUAUGAAGAAACAAUAAAAAGUUUACAGAAGGAACUGUCUGGAAUGACUGACUCGGCAGACAGUGCCCAAGGUAAACUGAGUGUUACCCAAGAUCAAUUGGUUCAUAUUACAGAGGAGAUGGCUCAGCUCUAUCACUUGGUUUGUGAAGUCAAUGGUGAGCUACCAAGCAGAGUUAUGCUUGAUCAUGCCAAAAGUGCAGCACAGAUGUCUCGACCAGAUAAUGUACGAGAAGGAAGUGAGGAGAAAGCUGAAGCCUCUCAAAAGACGAAUGAAGUAAAUAAUGUAGAAAAUGCUGAAACUGGUUCACAAGCUCAAAAGAAAACAAAAGACCUUGUCAGCCAGGAUUUGAAGGGAGCAGGAGAUCCUACCUCUUGUGGAAAGUUAGUCGAAACUGUUUUGGACCAAAUAAAGUAUUUGAGGCGUGCUGUUGACCAUCUGCUAGUGACUAGGCAGCGAGAGGGUGGAGAUAAUGAAAACACUGAUGUUAAAGAACUACAAGAACAGAUAGUGAAACUGAAAGCUAUGUUAUCAACCAAACGUGAACAAAUUGCUACUUUACGUAGUGUAUUAAAAGCAAAUAAAUCCACUGCUGAGAUCGCCUUAGCUAAUUUGAAACAGAAGUAUGAGAAUGAGAAAGUAAUAGUAACAGACACUAUGAUGAAGUUAAGAAAUGAACUGAAGGCACUUAAAGAAGAUGCUGCAACAUUUGCUUCCUUACGUGCCAUGUUUGCGCAGCGCUGUGAUGAGUAUGUGACUCAGCUUGAUGAAAUGCAAAGGCAGCUUGUUGCUGCAGAGGAGGAGAAAAAGACUUUAAAUUCCU